rnacentral:rRNA from 1 species
GCAGAGUCACUCCUACGGGAGGCAGCAGUGGGGAAUAUUGCACAAUGGGCGCAAGCCUGAUGCAGCCAUGCCGCGUGUAUGAAGAAGGCCUUCGGGUUGUAAAGUACUUUCAGCAGUGAGGAAGGUGGGUAUGUUAAUAGCAUAUUCAUUUUGACGUUUAGCUGCAGAAGAAGCACCGGCUAACUCCGUGCCAGCAGCCGCGGUAAUACGGAGGGUGCGAGCGUUAAUCGGAAUUACUGGGCGUAAAGCGCAUGCAGGUGGUUUGUUAAGUCAGAUGUGAAAGCCCGGGGCUCAACCUCGGAAUUGCAUUUGAAACUGGCAAACUAGAGUACUGUAGAGGGGGUAGAAUUUCAGGUGUAGCGGUGAAAUGCGUAGAGAUCUGAAGGAAUACCGGUGGCGAAGGCGGCCCCCUGGACAGAUACUGACACUCAGAGUUCCGCGUAAAGCGUGGGGAAGCUAAACCAGGAUUAGAUACCCUCGGUAG